rnacentral:rRNA from 1 species
AUUGAACGCUGGCGGCAUGCUUUACACAUGCAAGUCGAACGGUAACAGGGUGCUUGCACCGCUGACGAGUGGCGAACGGGUGAGUAAUGCGUCGGAACGUGCCGAGUAGUGGGGGAUAACGCAGCGAAAGUUGUGCUAAUACCGCAUACGUACUGAGGUAGAAAGUGGGGGACCUUCGGGCCUCACGCUAUUCGAGCGGCCGACGUCUGAUUAGCUAGUAGGUGAGGUAAAGGCUCACCUAGGCGACGAUCGGUAGCGGGUCUGAGAGGAUGAUCCGCCACACUGGGACUGAGACACGGCCCAGACUCCUACGGGAGGCAGCAGUGGGGAAUUUUGGACAAUGGGCGAAAGCCUGAUCCAGCCAUGCCGCGUGUCUGAAGAAGGCCUUCGGGUUGUAAAGGACUUUUGUCAGGGAGGAAAUCCCUAGUGCUAAUAACACUGGGGGAUGACAGUACCUGAAGAAUAAGCACCGGCUAACUACGUGCCAGCCGCCGCUGUAA